AACGAACGCUGGCGGCAUGCCUAACACAUGCAAGUCGAACGAGACCUUCGGGUCUAGUGGCGCACGGGUGCGUAACGCGUGGGAACCUGCCUUUAGGUUCGGAAUAACUCAGAGAAAUUUGAGCUAAUACCGGAUGAUGCCUUCGGACCAAAGAUUUAUCGCCUUUAGAUGGGCCCGCGUUGGAUUAGCUAGUUGGUGGGGUAAAGGCCUACCAAGGCGACGAUCCAUAGCUGGUCUGAGAGGAUGAUCAGCCACACUGGGACUGAGACACGGCCCAGACUCCUACGGGAAGCAGCAGUGGGGAAUAUUGGACAAUGGGCGAAAGCCUGAUCCAGCAAUGCCGCGUGAGUGAUGAAGGCCUUAGGGUUGUAAAGCUCUUUUACCCGAGAUGAUAAUGACAGUAUCGGGAGAAUAAGCUCCGGCUAACUCCGUG
rnacentral:rRNA from 1 species